CACGUAGGCACCAAGCGUUGUCCGGAUUUAUUGGGCGUAAAGAGCUCGUAGGCGGUUCAGUAAGUCGGGUGUGAAAACUCUGGGCUCAACCCAGAGACGCCACCCGAUACUGCUGUGACUUGAGUACGGUAGGGGAGUGGGGAAUUCCUGGUGUAGCGGUGAAAUGCGCAGAUAUCAGGAGGAACACCAGUGGCGAAGGCGCCACUCUGGGCCGUAACUGACGCUGAGGAGCGAAAGCCAGGGGAGCAAACGGG
rnacentral:rRNA from 1 species